ACCUGUCCUAAGUCAAGAAUCUGAUCAGUGUGCAGUCGUUGUCGUUUGUUUAUGUAAUUUAUACGUGUUUCUCGUUUCUCGUUUUUAUAUAGAUUAGACCGUUGGUUUUCCCGUUUGAAUGGUUUUACACUAGUAAUUUUGGGGCCCAUUAUAGCUUUUUUUUCGGUGUGAGCCAAGGCUCCGUGUUGAAGGCCGUACAUUGACCUAUAAUGGUUUACUUUUAUAAAUUGUUAUUUGGAUGGAGAGUUGUCUCAUUGGCACUUACACCACAUCUUCCUAUAUCUAUAAA
rnacentral:lncRNA from 1 species